UUCAUCACUAUCGGAUGUUUAUAAUGUGAUCAUCUUAUAGGAUGACACAAGCCAUGAUUUCUAAAUCACUAGGCUAGAUAAGAAAAUUGGAAGAAUCCAAUAUAAGUUUGAUUGUUGUGAUUUAUCGAAUCACAUUUGUCAGGAGUGCUAACACGUUCUUAGGCGUUAACAAGGAUCUGAAUCCCUUGGGUAGGUUUCACCAUCUUGGCCGCGUAGGCUAGAUUUCACCUUUAAGAUUCUUUUUUUUAAAAAUGCCUACUGGCAGGGAAGGAAGGAUAUUUAUUUUAUUCAGGAUUUUUUUUCAUAAAUCCUAAUUUAUAAGUUAAUAAUAGCACAAAUGGCCUAGUCGCGUAGACAAGUUAAUUUAUAAGCCAUGAUCGUCUGGGAUCGAGGCAUUUAGUAAUAGCACAAAAGGCUUAGUCAUACGGACAAGUUUAAUUUAUAAGCCAUGAUCGUCUGGGAUCAAGGCAUUUAGGUGUGAAUCAAAGUUCAUUACCUUUUCUUGACAGGGAGUCAUAGACCACCACUGCCUUCUGUCUUAUAUGACAAUUAGUAUGGCCCGUAGGCGCUACAUCACUAUUGG
rnacentral:lncRNA from 1 species